CACUCACCGGAGCAGUGAGGCAGAACUAACUGGGAGAGGGUCCUUCUGUGACACCUACUGCAUCACCGGGCUGUGUGAAGUGACUCAGCUGCCAGAACUCACACAAUAUCAUUCUACACCAAAACCUCAUGGGAAAAAUGCUCCACGACCCUCAGGCUUAAACAGCUGUACUGGCCGCUCCCCAGAUCUCCAGCUCCCUGACCCUCAAACUCCAACUGCAGCACCAGCUCCGCCCCGGGUCUCCAGCUCCACAAUCCUCAAACUACAACAGCAGCACCAGCUCCCCUGUGGAUCUCCAGCUCAAUGACUCUCAGACUUGGGAGGCGGCACCGGCUCCCCACCAAGCCUCCAGCUCCACAACCCUCAAACUAGAAAGCAGCACCGGCUACUCCCUGGGUCUCCAGUUCCCUCAAACUUCAGCUAUAGCACUGGCUCUUCCCCGUGGCCACCAGCUCUGCAAACCUCAACUUACACAGUGGUAGCACCAGCUCCUCCCUAGGUCUCCAGUUCCAUGACCCUCAAACUACACAGUAGCACCGGCCCCACCCCAGGUCCACAGCUCCACCAACCUCACAUUAGACACUAAGACUACCUCCUCCCCACUGUCCAGCUACACAACCCUCAGCCUUAAACAACAGCAGCACCAGCUCUUACCUGGGUCUCCAGCACCACAACCCUCAGCCUUAAACAACAGCAGCACCAGCUCCUCCCUGUGUCUCAAGCUCCACAACCCUCAGACUAGAACCGCACCCCUCCUCCCUGAGUCUGCAGCUCCAUGACCCUCAAACUACAACAGCAACACAGGCUCCUCCCUGAAUCUCCAGCUCAACAACUCUCAGACUUGAGAGGCAGAACCGGCAACUCCCCAGAACUCUAGAUCUGUUCAGACUAGAACAGCAACACCGGUUCCUCUCUGGAUCUCCAGCUCAGUGACUCUCAGACUUCAAAGGCAGCACCAGCUCCUCCGUGGAUCUCCAGAUCCACAACAUUCAAACCAACAUGGCUCCUCCCUGGGUCUGCAGCUCCACGACCCUCAAACUAGAACAAGACCUCUCCUCCCUGGGCCGCCAGCUUCCUGACCUUCAAACUACAACAACACUGCUCCUCCCUGGGUCUGCAGGUCCAUGACCCUCAGACCAGAACAAGACCUCUCCUCCCUGGGUCGCCAGCUUCCUGACCCUCGAAUUACAACAACCUUGCUCCUCCCUGGGUCUGCAGCUCCACAACCCUGAAACUAGAACAAAAUUUCUCCUACCUGAGUCGCCAGCUUCCUGACACUCGAACGACAACAAAAUUGCUCCUCCCUGGGUCGGCAGCUCCACGACCCUCAAACUCGAACAAGACUUCUCCUCCCCAGGUUGCCAGCUACCAGACCCUCGAACUACAACAACAUUGCUCCACCCUGGGUCUGUAGCUCCACGACCCUCAGACCGGAUCAAGACCUCUCCUCCCUGGGUCGCCAGCUUCCGGACCCUCAAAUUACAACAAAAUUGCUCCUCCCUGGGUCGGCAGCUCCACGACCCUCACAAUAGAACAAGACCUCUCCUCCCUGGGUCGCCAGCUUCCGGACCCUUGAACUACAACAAAAUUGCUCCUCCCUGGGUUGGCAGCUCCACGACCCUCAAACUCCAACAAGACUUCUCCUCCCCGAGUUGCCAGCUGCCAGACCCUCGAAUUACAACAACAUUGCCCCUCCCUGGGUCUGCAGCUCCACGACCCUCAGACUAGUACAAGACCUCUCCCUGGGUCGCCAGCUUCCUGACCGUCGAACUACAACAAAAUUGCUCCUCCCUGCGUCUGCAGCUCCACGACCCUCACACCAGAAGAAGACCUCUCCUCCCUGGGUCGCCAGCUUCCUGACCCUCGAACUACAACAAAAUUGCUCCUCCCUGGGUCUGCAGCUCCACGACCCUCAGACCAGAACAAGACCUCUCCUCCCUGGGUCGCCAGCUUUCUGACCCUCGAACU
rnacentral:lncRNA from 1 species